UGUGUCAUGCUGGUGUUCAUCUGUGUGUACCUGUGUCAUGGUGGUGUUCAUCUGUGUAUAUAUGUCAUGGUGGUGUUUAUCCGUGUGUACCUGUGUUAUGGUGGUGUUCAUCUAUAUGUACCUUUGUCGUGGUGGUGUUCAUCUGUGUGCACCUUUGUUAUGAUGGUGUUCAUCUGUGUGUACAUGUGUCAUGGCGGUCUUCAUCUGUGUGUACCUGUGUCAUGGUGGUCUUCAUCUGUGUGUACCUAUGACUUGGUGGUCUUCAUCUGUAUGUUAAUGGUGAUAUUCAUGACCUUAUGCUGUAAGAGGAAUCUGUUAUUAAAAAUGUUCCUAAACCAGUAACCACGGUUAUAACGAGAUUUUAUGAAAUUAUAAAACUUCUGACGAUACACUUUCUGUAACAUGUAAACCUGCAUACAUACGAGCAGUGUGGUACUAAUGAUACAGUAUUGCCGUAGCAAUAACAAAUAAUACUGGAAUCCGACAUAAUUUUAUUAGCUAAAAGAGCUUUAGAAUUGACAAAAAUGUUAUAAAACAGAAGCACAUAACUAGUGUCCACAAUACAAUAUAUAAUGUUCUCUUAAUUAAAUGGGAAUUUGACGUUCCCGUUUGAUCCCAACUUAGUAACACAGAUUGACAGCACUGUUACUUUAUAUACUCACACACAAAAGAAACGCAAGUUUCUUACUCAAAGGGGGAAUUAAACUCAGACCCCUAAAAUUAUAACAACGUUGAUAAAUAAAGAUGGCUGAUGGUGUUGUUAACAUUUGCUGUUGCGUUUUGCAAAGCCAGUGUGGGAACAGAAGGAAAAAACGAAUCGCCAGAACGCACCGCUUCAAUGGCGAUGUGGGCACCAUACACACUUUCCACAUGCAAUCAAACAUGCACGAGUUGUCACCAUCUCCAGUGGGUAUAAAACUGAACCAAAAUCUUUGGCCAGUCACUCUUUGUUCAACAAUGCCACGUUUAAAUCAACUUGAGAAGAACCAGGCUAUCGGACGGUUGGAAGCUGGAGAGUCUGUCCAAGAUGUUGCCCGUCACUUUAAUGUCAACAUAACCACGAUCUACUGUACUCCAGACUGCUCGAGACACCAUAGGAACGCAU